AUUGGAACAGGUCUUUACAUGGUAAAGGUAGACAGUUAGGGGAACAAGUCUUUACAUGGUAAAGGUAGACAGUUAGGUGAACUCACUUCAUUCACAGGGGAACAAGUCUUUACAUGGUAAAGGUAGACAGUCAGGGGAACAAGCAUCACCCACCUGGAUAUGUACUGGACUACAGUAAGAUGACAAACACAGCAUCAAAUCAACUUUGGACAUUUUCUGUUAUUUUUAUAAAGAAAGUCCACUUUCUGUUUUCCGCCAGGGAUUGAUUGGACAUUGUGGGGACGACGCAGAGAGACUUUUGAGGAGUGGAACUGAAUGGAACAAACAGUAUUAACGAAACAAGACACCUUGGAAUCAUAGAUCAUGAAACAACACCAGGAGGACCUUUCUUUGGGCCCAGAGUGUUGUUUCAGGUGAAUGAAGAAGGAGAGGAGGAGGAAGAUGAGGAGGAGGAAGAUAUUUCUACAGUAUUAAGUAAUAAUGAGCUCAAUUCAAUCAAAUUCGCCUUCCGGUAUUUACGCAGUAGUUGUUUAUUUUACCCUUAGUCAAAUGAUCAAAUGACAUGACAGAAUAGUUAUAGGGGUGAUGUAAACACCUACCACUGACAGGUAGACUCCACGGCCAGGUAGACUCCACGGCCAGGUAGACUCCACGGCCAGGUAGACUCCACGGCCAGGUAGACUCCACGGACAGGUAGACUCCACGGACAGGUAGACUCCAUGGCCAGGUAGACACUACGGCCAGGUAGACACCACGGCCAGGUAGACACCACGGCCAGGUAGACACCACGGCCAGGUAGACACCACAGCCAGGUAGACUCCACAGCCAGGUAGACACCACAGCCAGGUAGACACCACAGCCAGGUAGACUCCACAGCCAGGUAGACUCCACGGACAGGUAGACACCACGGACAGGUAGACACCACAGCCAGGUAGACUCCACAGCCAGGUAGACACCACGGCCAGGUAGACACCACGGCCAGGUAGACUCCACGGCCAGGUAGACUCCACGGCCAGGUAGACUCCACGGCCAGGUAGACUCCACAGCCAGGUAGACACCACAGCCAGGUAGACUCAAAUGGUUUAGACUCCACAGCCAGGUAGACUCAAAUGGUUUAGACUCCACAGCCAGGUAGACUCCACAGCCAGGUAGACUCCACAGCCAGGUAGACUCCACAGCCAGGUAGAUGCUUCCAGCUCACAGACGUUUGGGUACGUGAAGACACUGUGUAAACAUUUCUAAAUGCAAGUUUGCUUGAAUACCAGCCCAUGUGUCACUAUUGAAGAGGAAUUGGGAGAGGGGUUAAACAUCCCCACAGAGUUUAAUAAACAACAUCCAUCUGGUUUUGUAGUACUAUAUAGAUCUGUAACUAUCUUUUUUUAGUUUUCACUACAGACUUGUGACUUUGUCUCGUCCUACGGAUGGUUACAACAAAUUUAUUUUGUAUUGUAGUUUUUGUUUUGUUGUUUUUGUUAAAGCUGUGUUACUGUUUUAAUGUGUACAAUCAACUCAAGUCAAAUGGUUUACAGUUGACUUUACACCCCCCGUUAUCCACGUGUCACUCACUCCUCUGUCAUGUUUGUGUUCCUGCAGUCUCUCUCUCUAUUUAACUCUAUCAAUCCUUACUGGGUUGCUGGACUCUCGUCUUCUCAUUAUCUCAUAAUCAUAAGUGGGGCUAGGAGUAUUUCAUUUCCUGACCAUGUGACCUGACCAGGAGAAACUCUAAACUCCUAGCCCUAAUCCUCAG
ensembl:lncRNA